rnacentral:rRNA from 1 species
UAUACAUGCAGUCGAGCGGACCGACGGGAGCUUGCUCCCUUAGGUCAGCGGCGGACGGGUGAGUAACACGUGGGUAACCUGCCUGUAAGACUGGGAUAACUCCGGGAAACCGGGGCUAAUACCGGAUGCUUGAUUGAACCGCAUGGUUCAAUCAUGAAAGGCGGCUUCGGCUGCCGUUUACAGAUGGACCCGCGGCGCAUUAGCUAGUUGGUGAGGUAACGGCUCACCAAGGCGACGAUGCGUAGCCGACCUGAGAGGGUGAUCGGCCACACUGGGACUGAGACACGGCCCAGACUCCUACGGGAGGCAGCAGUAGGGAAUCUUCCGCAAUGGACGAAAGUCUGACGGAGCAACGCCGCGUGAGUGAUGAAGGUUUUCGGAUCGUAAAGCUCUGUUGUUAGGGAAGAACAAGUACCGUUCGAAUAGGGCGGUACCUUGACGGUACCUAACCAGAAAGCCACGGCUAACUACGUGCCAGCAGCCGCGGUAAUACGUAGGUGGCAAGCGUUGUCCGGAAUUAUUGGGCGUAGAGCGCGCGCAGGCGGUUUCUUAAGUCUGAUGUGAAAGCCCCCGGCUCAACCGGGGAGGGUCAUUGGAAACUGGGGAACUUGAGUGCAGAAGAGGAGAGUGGAAUUCCACGUGUA